rnacentral:rRNA from 1 species
CAAGUCGAGCGGCAGCGCGGGGCAACCUGGCGGCGAGCGGCGAACGGGUGAGUAAUGCAUCGGAACGUGUCCAUGUCGUGGGGGAUAGCCCGGCGAAAGCCGGAUUAAUACCGCAUACGCCCGAGAGGGGAAAGUGGGGGACCGCAAGGCCUCACGCGAUUGGUUCGGCCGAUGUCCGAUUAGCUAGUUGGCGGGGUAAAGGCCCACCAAGGCGAUGAUCGGUAGCUGGUCUGAGAGGAUGAUCAGCCACACUGGGACUGAGACACGGCCCAGACUCCUACGGGAGGCAGCAGUGGGGAAUUUUGGACAAUGGGGGCAACCCUGAUCCAGCCAUUCCGCGUGAGUGAAGAAGGCCUUCGGGUUGUAAAGCUCUUUUGUCCGGAACGAAACGGGCGACGUGAAUAUCGUCGUCUACUGACGGUACCGGAAGAAUAAGCACCGGCUAACUACGUGCCAGCAGCCGCGGUAAUACGUAGGGUGCGAGCGUUAAUCGGAAUUACUGGGCGUAAAGCGUGCGCAGGCGGUUUUGUAAGCCAGAUGUGAAAUCCCCGGGCUUAACCUGGGAAUGGCAUUUGGGACUGCAAGGCUGGAGUGCGGCAGAGGAGACUGGAAUUCCUGGUGUAGCAGUGAAAUGCGUAGAUAUCAGGAGGAACACCGAUGGCGAAGGCAGGUCUCUGGGCUGACACUGACGCUCAUGCACGAAAGCGUGGGGAGCAAACAGGAUUAGAUACCCUGGUAGUCCACGCCCUAAACGAUGUCGACUGGUUGUUGGGGGUUUGACACUCUCAGUAACGAAGCUAACGCGUGAAGUCGACCGCCUGGGGAGUACGGCCGCAGGUUA